GACGAACGCUGGCGGCGUGCUUAACACAUGCAAGUCGAACGGAAAGGCCCUGCUUUUGUGGGGUGCUCGAGUGGCGAACGGGUGAGUAACACGUGAGUAACCUGCCCUUGACUUUGGGAUAACUUCAGGAAACUGGGGCUAAUACCGGAUAGGAGCUCCUGCUGCAUGGUGGGGGUUGGAAAGUUUCGGCGGUUGGGGAUGGACUCGCGGCUUAUCAGCUUGUUGGUGGGGUAGUGGCUUACCAAGGCUUUGACGGGUAGCCGGCCUGAGAGGGUGACCGGCAACAUUGGGACUGAGAUACGGCCCAGACUCCUACGGGAGGCAGAAGUGGGGAAUAUUGCACAAUGGGCGGAAGCCUGAUGCAGCAACGCCGCGUGCGGGAUAACAGCCUUCGGGUUGUAAACCGCUUUCGCCUGUGACGAAGAGUGAGUGACGGUAAUGGGUAAAGAAGCACCGGAUAACUACGUG
rnacentral:rRNA from 1 species